GUGCCAGCAGCCGCGGUAAGACGAACCGUGCGAACGUUGUUCGGAAUCACUGGGCUUAAAGGGCGCGUAGGCGGCUCGCCAAGUCAGGGGUGAAAUCUUUCGGCUCAACCGGAAAAGUGCCUCUGAUACUGGCGAGCUCGAGGGAGGUAGGGGCAGCUGGAACUUCCGGUGGAGCGGUGAAAUGCGUUGAUAUCGGAAGGAACGCCGGUGGCGAAAGCGAGCUGCUGGAUCUCUUCUGACGCUGAGGCGCGAAAGCCAGGGGAGCAAACGGGAUUAGAUACCCUCGUAGUCC
rnacentral:rRNA from 1 species